CCUACGGGGGGCAGCAGUGAGGAAUAUUGGUCAAUGGUCGGGAGCCUGAACCAGCCAAGCCGCGUGAGGGAUGAAGGUACUGAGUAUCGUAAACCUCUUUUGUCAGGGAACAAAGGCGGGGACGUGUCCCCGGAUGAAUGUACCUUAAGAACAAGGAUCGGCUAACUCCGUGCCAGCAGCCGCGGUAAUACGGAGGAUCCGAGCGUUAUCCGGAUUUAUUGGGGUUAAAGGGUGCGCAGGCGGCCUGUUAAGUCAGCGGUGAAAGGCCCGGGCUCAACCCCGGAACGGCCGUUGAAACUGGCAGUCUGGAGUUGGUGAGAGGCAUGCGGAAUGCGAGGUGUAGCGGUGAAAUGCGUAGAUAUCGCGCAGAACCCCGAUUGCGAAGGCAGCCUGCCGGCACAUGACUGACGCUGAGGCACGAAAGCGUGGGUAUCAAACAGGAUUAGAUACCCGAGUAGUC
rnacentral:rRNA from 1 species